rnacentral:rRNA from 1 species
CAGUCGCCACGGUAAAACGUAGGGUGCGAGCGUUAAUCGGAAUUACUGGGCGUAAAGCGUGCGCAGGCGGUUUUGUAAGACAGGCGUGAAAUCCCCGGGCUCAACCUGGGAAUGGCGCUUGUGACUGCAAAGCUAGAGUGCGGCAGAGGGGGAUGGAAUUCCGCGUGUAGCAGUGAAAUGCGUAGAUAUGCGGAGGAACACCGAUGGCGAAGGCAAUCCCCUGGGCCUGCACUGACGCUCAUGCACGAAAGCGUGGGGAGCAAACAGGAUUAGAUACCCGCGUAGUCCCUGUCUCUUAUAC